rnacentral:rRNA from 1 species
AGUGAACGCUGGCGGCAUGCCUAAUACAUGCAAGUCGAACGGCAGCACAGUAAGCUCUUGCUCCUACGGUUGGCGAGUGGCGGACGGGUGACGAAUACAUCGGAAUCUACUUUUUCGUGGGUGAUAACGUAGGGACACUUAUGCUAAUACCGCAUACGACCUACGGGAGAGAGCAGGAGAUCUUCGCAGUUUUCGUGACUGAUUUAGCCGAUGUCGGAUUAGCUAGUUGGCGUGGUAAAGGCCCACCAAGGCGACGAUCCGUAGCUGGUCUGAGAGGAUGAUCAGCCACACUGGAACUGAGACACGGUCCAGACUCCUACGGGAGGCAGCAGUGGGGAAUAUUGGGCAAUGGGCGCAAGCCUGACCCAGCAAUACCGCGUGGGUGAAGAAGGCCUUCGGAUUGUAAAGCCCUUUUGUUGGGGAAGAAAAACAGCGGAAUAAUACACCGCUGUUCUGACGGUACCCAAAGAGUAAGCACCGGCUAACUUCGUG